GUAUCUGGAGAUUUAUCCGAUAUUGUGUUAAUUUGUAUUAUUUCUUGGUAUAGAUGGACAAGAAACCAUGGCCACUAUGUCUGCAGCACUUGGGGAAACAACCACUUCAAAACUUUUGAUGGCGACGUCUACCAAUUCCCUGGCGUUUGCGAGUAUAAUUUUGUUUCCGACUGCCGAGAUGCUUACAAGGAAUUCUCUGUCCACAUCCAGCGUGCUCUCAACAGCAAUGGCCAUCCUGAGAUCCAGUAUAUUCUGAUGAAAAUCAAGGAUAUAACCGUCUACCUCAAACCAAACCUGGUUGUGGUGGAUGGGCGGAUUGUGAAGACACCUUACUACUCCUCUGGUGUCUUCAUUGAGGCCAGUGAAAUUUACACCAAGAUUUAUGCCAAAUUAGGCAUGGUUCUGAUGUGGAACCAGCAGGAUGCCCUGAUGGUGGAGCUGGACAACAAAUUUAAUAACCAUACCUGUGGUCUCUGUGGGGAUUACAAUGGAAUUCAAAUCUACAAUGAGUUCAUCAAAGGAGGUGACUACAACUCAAUUACAUUUGGGAACAUGCAGAAGAUCAGCAAACCCACUGCCAAAUGUGAAGAUCCAGAUGAAACCCAGGCUCUUCCAAGCUGUAAUGAGCAUCGUGAUGAGUGUCACAGGUUGCUGACUUCCCCUGCAUUUGCUGAUUGUCGGCUACGGCUUAAUUUGGAAAUGUACAUCCAAGCCUGCAUGCAGGACAAGUGUGCCUGUAAUGGGAAGACAGACUCCUUCUGCCUCUGCAGCACCAUCUCUGAGUAUUCCCGCCAGUGUUCGCACGCAGGGGGCCGCCCAAGAGAAUGGAGGACAGAGAGCUUCUGCCCCAAGAGCUGUCCUGCUACCAUGGUCUACAGAGAAAGCAGCUCACCCUGCAUGGAUACUUGCUCACACUUGGACAUCAGCAGCCUUUGUGAGGAGCACUACAUGGAUGGCUGUUUCUGCCCUGAAGGAACUGUGUAUGAUGAUAUCAGUGAAAAAGGCUGCAUCCCUGUUAGCCAGUGCCACUGCAAACUUGGUGGAAAGACCUAUGCACCUGGAGAAAGGAUUUCCAAAGAAUGUGAAGAAUGCACCUGUAAUUCAGGCAGAUGGACCUGCAAAGACCUAGACUGUCCAGGCACAUGCUCAGUGGAAGGAGGUUCCCAUAUUUCCACCUUUGAUGGGAAGAAAUACACCUUCCAUGGAGACUGCUACUAUGUGUUGGCCAAGGGUACUGAAAAUGAGAAUUAUGCUCUCCUGGCAGAGCUGGCUCCCUGUGGCUCCACAGACAAACAGACCUGCUUGAAGACUGUUGUGCUGUUAGCAGAUAACAAAAAGAAUGUGGUGGUUUUCAGAUCAGAUGGCAGCGUGCUCCUGAAUGACAUGACAGUGAAUGUGCCUCAUGUGUCAGCCAGCUUCUCAGUAUUCAAGCCGUCUUCCAACUACUUUGUUGUACAAACUUCUUUUGGGCUUCAGAUGCAGAUCCAGCUGUUUCGAGUCAUGCAGCUGUUUGUGACUGUGGAUCAAUCAGUUAAAGGAAAACUUCAAGGUCUUUGUGGAAACUUCAAUGGAGUGGAAGGUGAUGACUUUAGAACAACCAGCGGGCUGAUUGAGGCUACAGGAUCUGCCUUUGCUAACACAUGGAAAGCUCAGUCCACCUGCUCAGACCAGGCAGAAAAGCUGGAAGACCCCUGCAGUCUCAGCAUUGAAAGUGCAAAUUAUGCUGAGCAUUGGUGUUCUUUGCUGAGAAACCCAAAGGGUCCUUUUGCAAGAUGUCACUCAGCCAUUGAUCCUUCAGAAUACUAUAAGAAAUGUAAAUAUGACACCUGCCUCUGUGAAGACAAUGAAGAAUGUUUGUGUGCUGCCCUGUCCUCUUACUCAAGAGCCUGUGCUUUCAAAGGGAUCAUACUGGGAAACUGGAGAAACAGUGUCUCAUCUUCUUGCUCAGGAAAUCAAGUCUUCCUUUACAAUCUUACAAUGUGCCAGCAAACCUGUCGUUCCCUUGCUGAUGGUGAAAAGUAUUGCUUGCAAGACUUUGCUCCUGUGGAUGGCUGUGGCUGCCCAUCCAAUACAUACUUGGAUAACCAGGAUAACUGUGUGCCCAUCUCCCAGUGCCCAUGUUAUUACAAGGGCUCAUACCUGGAACCUGGGGAAUAUUUCACAAAAGAUGGAGAACGCUGGUAUGUUUUAUUUUGGCUUCUUUUUUGUGAAGAAGCAUGUUCUUCCAACAAGACAUACUUUGACUGCAGUGCAUCCUCAAAGUGGAGUUCACAAACACCUCUACAGCUUAGCUGUCAUACUCCUCAAACUGAUCAUUUCCAGGCAGAGUGUGUCUCAGGCUGUGUGUGUCCUGAAGGUCUAUUUGAUGAUGGCAGAGGGGGCUGUGUUGAGCAAAAAGAUUGCCCAUGCAUUCAUAACAAUGAGUUGUAUUCUUCUGGACACAAGAUAAAAGUGGACUGCAACACUUGCACCUGCCAGAAAGGGCUUUGGAAAUGCACUGAUGACGUGUGCUAUGGGACUUGCACAAUAUAUGGAAGUGGCCAUUAUAACACUUUUGAUGGGAAAUUCUAUGACUUUGAUGGGAGCUGUGAAUAUGUGGCUGCUCAGGACUUCUGUGGCGACAAAAAUUCCAGUGUAUUACAAUAUUUCUAUUUUUCCUUUCAGAAAACUGAACUGAAAUUGGAGAACAAAGAGUACAAAGAAAUUCAGCGAGAUGUUGGUGAUGAUGUGCAGUAUUGGAACAGGACAGUCGGGCUGUACUUGGUUAUUGAGGCUAGCAAUGGUGUGAUGCUGAUCUGGGACAAGAAGACCACUGUUUUCAUCAAGCUGAGCCCUGAUUACAAAGGCAAAGUGUGUGGUCUGUGUGGCAACUUUGAUGACAAGGCAAACAACGAUUUUACAACAAGGAGUGGACUGCAGGACUCUAAUCCUCUGAUUUUUGGAAAUUCCUGGAAACAAUCUCCCAUGUGCCCAGAUGUCACAAAAGAGAUUAAGCCCUGUGAUCUGAAACCACACCGGAAAUCCUGGGCAGAGAAAGAAUGCAGCAUCAUCCAGAGCGAAGUCUUCGAAAUUUGUCACUCCAAGGUGAACCCACUUCCUUUCUAUGAAGCUUGUGUUCAUGAUGCCUGCUCUUGUGACAGUGGUGGAGAUUGCGAGUGCUUCUGCUCUGCAGUUGCAGCGUACGCCCAAGAGUCUUGUACCAUUGAAGGCCUGCUCAGAACUGCAUUCUGGCAACCCUCCAUAUUCUGUGACUACUACAACCCUCGCAAUGAGUGUGACUGGCACUACGAGCCUUGUGGCAGUAAUAUCACAACCUGCAGGAUGAUCAAUAACGUCAGCACCAACUUUACAAUACCACUACUGGAAGGCUGCUACCCCAGAUGCCCUAAGGACAAGCCUAUUUAUAAUGAAGAGACAAAGGAAUGUGUGACUGAAGACAAAUGUGGAUGUUACCUCGAGGAUGGAACCCAUGUACCCCCUGGGCAAGAAGUAGUCACAGAAGACAACUGUACAAUAUGGUAUAUAAAAAUUACUUGCAGUAAUUCAGGAAAUAAUUUGUGUAUGCGGAUUAUCGGAAAAGUACAGGAUGGCGACAUAUGUAUAAUAUACAUUUGUGCAGAAGAUGGUACUACAAAUAUUACGAUCGUGCCUUGUCCAACAACUUCACCUACAACCAUUUCAACCUCCUUCCCUUCCACUCCUUGCUUUGGACUGAUCUGUGAGUGGACUGAGUGGUUUGAUGUUAGCAAACCUGAAGAAGGUGAUGGUGACUAUGAAACAUACGAGGAAAUAAGAAACCAUGGAAACAAAAUAUGUAGAGCUCCUGAAAAAAUUGAAUGCAGGGCUAAGGAUAAACCUGAUGUGAGCUUAGAAGAACUUGGUCAGAAAGUCCAGUGUAAUGUUACAUAUGGGCUAAUCUGUAAAAAUGAUGAGCAAGAUGUAACUAUGUGGCAACUUUGCUAUAAUUAUGAAAUCAGAGUAAACUGUUGUGAGUGGCAAGAAAUACCUUGUGAGCCUACAACUACACCUACUACACCACAAACUACAACUUCAACCACCAUCAAGACAAUACCCACCACCACUACAAUCAGGACUUCAACCACACCUAUAGCCGAGCCUACCACAAGUGAGUAUAUACCACCAGUCUUCACUCCAGUAACCUCAACAUCUACAGGCACACCCAGCACAGCAUCCCCAACAACAGAAUUGCCAACCACUCCCCCACCACCAGAGACUCCCAUCACCACCACCCCCACUACCACCACCACCACCACCAGAGGACCAACGACAACAACAACUGUUCCACCAACAACCACCACAGUUACAGAAGGUAUGAUCCAAAACCAAAUAAUUCCCACCAAAAGCCCUGUGCCUCCAACUACAGUACCAACACAGAAUUCUCUUGCUCUCUUGUCAUUGGUGUCCUUGUUGUGGGAGUAG
rnacentral:lncRNA from 1 species